rnacentral:rRNA from 1 species
UACAGAGGGGGCAAGCGUUGUUCGGAAUUACUGGGCGUAAAGGGCGCGUAGGCGGCCUGUUAAGUCGAACGUGAAAUCCCCGGGCUCAACCCGGGAACUGCGUCCGAUACUGGCAGGCUUGAAUUCGGGAGAGGGAUGCGGAAUUCCAGGUGUAGCGGUGAAAUGCGUAGAUAUCUGGAGGAACACCGGUGGCGAAGGCGGCAUCCUGGACCAAUACUGACGCUGAGGAGCGAAAGCCAGGGGAGCAAACGGG